rnacentral:rRNA from 1 species
AGUGAACGCUGGCGGUAGGCCUAACACAUGCAAGUCGAACGGCAGCACAGUAAGAGCUUGCUCUUACGGGUGGCGAGUGGCGGACGGGUGAGGAAUACAUCGGAAUCUACUUUUUCGUGGGGAUAACGUAGGGACACUUACGCUAAUACCGCAUACGACCUACGGGUGAAAGCAGGGGAUCUUCGGACCUUGCGCGAUUGAAUGAGCCGAUGUCGGAUUAGCUAGUUGGCGGGGUAAAGGCCCACCAAGGCGACGAUCCGUAGCUGGUCUGAGAGGAUGAUCAGCCACACUGGAACUGAGACACGGUCCAGACUCCUACGGGAGGCAGCAGUGGGGAAUAUUGGACAAUGGGCGCAAGCCUGAUCCAGCCAUACCGCGUGGGUGAAGAAGGCCUUCGGGUUGUAAAGCCCUUUUGUUGGGAAAGAAAAGCAGCAGGUUAAUACCCCGCUGUUCUGACGGUACCCAAAGAAUAAGCACCGGCUAACUUCGUG